rnacentral:rRNA from 1 species
CGACCGGCGCACGGGUGAGUAACACGUAUCCAACCUGCCGUCUACUCUUGGCCAGCCUUCUGAAAGGAAGAUUAAUCCAGGAUGGGAUCAUGAGUUCACAUGUCCGCAUGAUUAAAGGUAUUUUCCGGUAGACGAUGGGGAAGCGUUCCAUUAGAUAGUAGGCGGGGUAACGGCCCACCUAGUCAACGAUGGAUAGGGGUUCUGAGAGGAAGGUCCCCCACAUUGGAACUGAGACACGGUCCAA